rnacentral:rRNA from 1 species
GACGAACGCUGGCGGCGUGCUUAACACAUGCAAGUCGAACGGUAAGGCUCCAGCUUGCUGGGGUACACGAGUGGCGAACGGGUGAGUAACACGUGGGUGACCUGCCCUGCACUUCGGGAUAAGCCUGGGAAACUGGGUCUAAUACCGGAUAGGACCGCACCGUGAGGGUGUGGUGGAAAGUUUUUUCGGUGUGGGAUGGGCCCGCGGCCUAUCAGCUUGUUGGUGGGGUAAUGGCCUACCAAGGCGGCGACGGGUAGCCGGCCUGAGAGGGUGGACGGCCACAUUGGGACCGAGACACGGCCCAGACUCCUACGGGAGGCAGCAGUGGGGAAUAUUGCACAAUGGGCGGAAGCCUGAUGCAGCGACGCCGCGUGGGGGAUGACGGCCUUCGGGUUGUAAACUCCUUUCACCAUCGACGAAGGGUUUCUGACGGUAGAUGGAGAAGAAGCACCGGCUAACUACG